UCUGUACGGUUGUACUACUACCAUUCAUGCCUUUUUUUCAUUCUUUUCUCUUGACGUGAACCCAUUUCCCAUUCUCGUUCGUUUUUCUCUUUUUCUUCCACAGAUCGUUGCUAGAUCCAGUAAGUGAGAAGGACGUGGUGAGUAGGAUUUGCGGCAGAGUGUCGUCGUUGCAGGCUCUCGGCGGCGGCCGGUCCUCCAGCUCGACUACACGUGCCUGCUGCUCGCGCGCCGCCGUCGAUUGGAUGGCCAUGGAGUUCGCGCCCCUUGAACCUAAGCGGCAGCUCUCCUCCAGGUAAUCUCUCCUCUUCCCCUCCUUCCCCUUCCUUCCCAGAUGCUUAGUCUGCUAGGAUCCAGCAAUUGUGUGGAUUUUGGAUUCUUCAUGAGAAAUCGGCUUGUGGUCUCCUGUUAUCCCCUGCCUGCAGCUCGUGGAGAUUUUUUCUGGUGGAGAUAAGGAGACGAAGAGAGUGUUCUCCGGUGAGGUACUACUCAGAAGCCGGAAGGGCAAAUGCAGAGAGGUGACCAAUAUGCGCAUGGAGUUUUUUUAGGAUCAAGUGAGCGAAGAUUUGCCUCAAUUUAUGUCAGAGUUGCUCAUAUCCCCCUGCCCUUUUGCUUACCUUGCGUUAUUUUGGGUAAUUAACUCUUUUUUUUAUAGUUGACAUUCUGCCCAACUUAGAUCGUCUCUUCAAUUUAGCUUGUCUCUUCAACACAUCCGUAUUAAUUAUGUGAAGUUCCGCAUAGCAAAAGGUGUUCAAUACUUCAUUGUUUCGUCUACUACCUAUAACACAAUCUUUCAAUAGUUCAUUGUCUUGUCUGUAUUUGUUAACAUUUAUAUACGUGAAUACACAUACAUUUAUUUGGUUGAGGAGGCUAUGUUGAUGUCUAUUUUUUUUAGAGACUAUUCGUGAGAGUGAUGAGAGUGUUAGUGCAGAGAUAUUAGUAAUCGCUAUUUAGGUGGAAUUUCUUUGUGAACUUUCUCUAGAAUGAUCAAAUAUAGUACUCCCUCCGUUCCUAAAUAUAAGUUUUUUUAGAGAUUCCAAUAAGGACUACAUAAGAAGCAAAAUGAGUGAAUCUACACUCUAAAACUCCCUCUGUUCCUAAAUAUAAGUUUUUUUAGAGAUUCCAGUACGGAAUACAUAAGGUGCAAAAUGAGUGAAUCUACACUCUAAAAUACAUCUAUAUACAUCCGUAUGUAGUCUGUAUUGAAAUAUCUAAAAAGGCUUAUAUUUUGAAACGGAGGUAUGUAGCUAUGUAAAAAUAUCCAUGCUUCAACUUUUUUAAAUGAUGUUAGAAGAGAGAUAAAAAUAUUCAGGGGUAAUAAAUAACUAAUUAACAAAAAAGUAAUAUUUUGUGGAAAGAUCAGACAUAUUUAUAUAUAUGGUUAGGUUGUCUUCGACUCUAUGUAAUUGCACAUGCAUUGUCUAUGCAAAAUUCUAGUUUUGUUGACUUGAUGAACUAUAUUGUAAAUUAGAAUAUCUUUAUAAACAAUAUUCUUUGUGGCAUCUUCAGUUGGACACUCUUUGUUAUUGAUCAGCGUGUUCAAUCCUUCCUUGUUUGUCACUCUCGAUAAUGCCACAUACAGUUGUCCAUGGCAGAAUGCUUGCUUAGGCAAAUAUAUUCCUACUUUGUUUUUGCAAGGAUGUUGUUGUCGUCGAGCAUUAUUUGCAGUUCUUUGACGAUGUUGGGGUCCACUGUUGAUUUAUUAUCAUUGCAUCUUGACGCACUUAUCCUGUUUGCCACCUUAUUUACAUUAUUAUAGAUGUACAGCUGUGUGAACCAAGGUUUGUCUGUACCUUUAGGUAAAAGAGUUCCGAUGUGGUGGUAGUUCUGUCCACGCAAACGAAAAAGAGAAAGUUCUUUGCGAGUGUUUAUUUCCUUGUCCACAACUCCUCCCAUCGAUGUGAAUGAAAACAUUGAGUUGUAUGACCUUAUAAUCCAGCCCUUCACUUCUUAAGAGGUUUCUGAGGUAUGGUGGAGGGUCUCUUAGUGGUGGCAGAUUGAUUUUUCCCUGUUUGCAGCAUAUUCCAAAAGAGGGUGUCUUAGUUCCUUUGUUGAAUUUAAUCGUUCUUCACACCAUAGCAAUGAUUUGCAAUAUUAGCAUUUGUAUGUUGGCCUUCCGAAUUUCCAUGUCUUUCUAUUAGCACUUGUUGAGGUUGUGGUUCUGUUGCUGUCUCCAACAUUGAUUCUAAUGUUAAUUUUGUUGCUUUCGCUUCUUGUACGCUUCAAUUUCUUAUCUUCUUUAGCAUUAUCCUUUCUCAAUUGUUUAGGAGCCUCUAUGUUUGUAUUUCUUCUUCCCUCUGCAGUCCUUGUCCUCUUUGUGCUCCUUGAGUUUAAAGCUUGAUCUUUCUUUCUUUUUGUGUGGUGAGCUGUUAGCGCUGACGUAUGUUGGACUGUCAUCUCUACAAAAUUAUUUUGUUAGUGACAUAUAGAGUUUUCUUAAUAAUGUUUUGCCACUGCAGACAUGUAAGUGCAUUUGGAGAUAUAGAGACUAUAAUGGGGGUGUCACAUACAGAACAUCUGGAGAUCAAUAUUGUUUAUCUGGUAUGGCACUAUAAAUUAAUAUGUGUUCAAUAGUGUUGCUCUUUUUGUAGCUUUCACACUACUGUCAUGGCAGUGUGUGUAUGCAUGGAAAAACAUGGUUAGAAGAGUUUUGACAUAGAAGAUUAGAAGCAAGGUUGAGCUGAGAUCAAAUGCUGACACACGUGAAGCAUUGCAUGUGGAUAUUACCUGAGGUUGAUGGUGUUGAUGCCGUGUCUUCAGUUUGUUGGACGUUUCUUUAUGGCGUUUGGGCGUCGCGGGCGUAUAUUGGAUACAAUUUGGUAGAGUUGCUUCUAUGCCUUCGAUUUUUCGGUCGUCUUGUGUGUUCGAUCAUCCUAACAUCUUGAUAAAAGAGCUAUUGAGAAAGUACGUCAUGGGUCAGACCGAAGAGUUGAAUGUCGUCUUGUAAAAUUAUUGUUGAAUGAUGACUAUGUGAUAUAAGCAGAAGGGAUGAGCGUGUGACCA